ACGGUCGUCGGAGGUUCUACGAGAACAGAUCCGAGAAGUCCAGAAGCUUGCCAAGCGAAGCUCGUCGGAACUUGCCAAGUGGAUCGUCACAAAGUCCAGGAGUUUGCCGGAAGUCCGCAGGAGCAUCACCGAGGGUUCAUCGGAUGAUCGACGGAAGUUCGCCGGAAACUCGCCGGAAGGAGCGAUUGACACACCGAAGCAAAGCUGCAGAA
rnacentral:lncRNA from 1 species